rnacentral:lncRNA from 1 species
GAGAAGCCUGCUACCUCACUACUCCUAUUUCCAGUUUCUUUCAAAGGUAAGGGGUAUUAUUUCUUUCUUUCAUCUUCUUGAAGAGAACUUCUGUUAUUCCAUUCUUUAUUAUUAUGUUGGAAUAACCUGUCUAUGCGAAGUACCGCAUACAUAGUGAAAUUCUUCUGUUAUUCCAUUCUUUAUUAUUCUGUUGGAACAUCCUGUCUGUGCUUUACGCAUGACCUGGUUCCGUUAUUUAUUAUUCUG